rnacentral:rRNA from 1 species
GACGAACGCUGGCGGCGUGCUUAACACAUGCAAGCCGAACGGUAAGGCCCUUCGGGGUACACGAGUGGCGAACGGGUGAGUAACACGUGGGUGAUCUGCCCUGCACUUCGGGAUAAGCCUGGGAAACUGGGUCUAAUACCGGAUAGGACCACUGCCUGCAUGGGUGGUGGUGGAAAGCUUUUGCGGUGUGGGAUGGGCCCGCGGCCUAUCAGCUUGUUGGUGGGGUGAUGGCCUACCAAGGCGACGACGGGUAGCCGGCCUGAGAGGGUGACCGGCCGCACUGGGAGUGGGAGACGGCCCAGACGCCUACGGGAGGCAGGAGGGGGGAAUAUUGCUCAAUGGGCGCAAGCCUGAUGCAGCGACGCCGCGGGAGGGAUGACGGCCUUCGGGUUGUAAACCUCUUUCUGCACCGACGAAGCGCUAGUGACGGUAGGUGCAGAAGAAGGACCGGCCAACUACGUGCCAGCCGCCGCGGUAACAC